rnacentral:rRNA from 1 species
GACAGAGGUGCCGAGCGUUAGGCGGAAUCACUGGGCUUAAAGCGUGUGUAGGCGGGUCGUUAAGUGUCUUGUGAAAUCCCACCGCUCAACGGUGGAACCGCUGGGCAUACUGGCGAUCUUGAGCAGUCCAGGGGCGAGCGGAACAAGCGGUGGAGCGGUGAAAUGCGUAGAUAUCGCGUGGAACGCCGACGGUGAAAACAGCUCGCUGGGGACUCGCUGACGCUGAGACACGAAAGCCAGGGGAGCGAACGGG